GCGCGGCUGGCGAAAUGAAGACGCACUCGGUUUAAGCCCGGGCGGCCAACGGUCGUGCAGGUUCAAGUCCUGCGCCGCGCA
rnacentral:tRNA from 1 species